rfam:Gossypium arboreum cultivar AKA8401 contig_6350_9, whole genome shotgun sequence.
UGAUAAAUUUUUUAUCCAUUGUUACUAUUAAGAAUUGGUGUAGCUGAUGAAAUCACCAGAAAGUUAUACGUGGUGUGUAAUGUGUACCUCAUGCUAAUGUACAUGGAUCCCUUUUUUUAACAGUAGAAGUAGAUAAAAUUUUAAUA